CUGGCGGCGUGCCUAAUACAUGCAAGUCGAGCGGACAGAUGGGAGCUUGCUCCCUGAUGUUAGCGGCGGACGGGUGAGUAACACGUGGGUAACCUGCCUGUAAGACUGGGAUAACUCCGGGAAACCGGGGCUAAUACCGGAUGGUUGUUUGAACCGCAUGGUUCAAACAUAAAAGGUGGCUUCGGCUACCACUUACAGAUGGACCCGCGGCGCAUUAGCUAGUUGGUGAGGUAACGGCUCACCAAGGCAACGAUGCGUAGCCGACCUGAGAGGGUGAUCGGCCACACUGGGACUGAGACACGGCCCAGACUCCUACGGGAGGCAGCAGUAGGGAAUCUUCCGCAAUGGACGAAAGUCUGACGGAGCAACGCCGCGUGAGUGAUGAAGGUUUUCGGAUCGUAAAGCUCUGUUGUUAGGGAAGAACAAGUACCGUUCGAAUAGGGCGGUACCUUGACGGUACCUAACCAGAAAGCCACGGCU
rnacentral:rRNA from 1 species